rnacentral:rRNA from 1 species
GACGAACGCUGGCGGCGUGCUUAACACAUGCAAGUCGAACGGGAACCUUUAUUUCGGUAAAGGUGAGAGUGGCAAACGGGUGAGUAACACGUAGGCAACCUGCCGACAGGAUGGGGACAACAUUCCGAAAGGAAUGCUAAUACCGAAUGGAGUCCGAGGAUGGCAUCAUCCUUGGAUAAAAGAUGGCCUCUGAAUAUGCUAUCGCCUGUCGAUGGGCCUGCGUCUGAUUAGCCAGUUGGCGGGGUAACGGCCCACCAAAGCGACGAUCAGUAGCCGGUCUGAGAGGAUGAACGGCCACAUUGGGACUGAGACACGGCCCAGACUCCUACGGGAGGCAGCAGUGGGGAAUCUUCCACAAUGGGCGAAAGCCUGAUGGAGCAACGCCGCGUGAGUGAAGAAGGUCUUCGGAUCGUAAAGCUCUGUUGCACGGGACGAAAACUGGGUUUGAAAACAUUGAAC